AUGGAGUGCUAGAUGUUUGGGGGGGUUUCCGCCCCUAAAGUGUCGUAGCUUAACGCAUUAAGCAAUCCGCCUGGGGGAGUACGACCGCAAGGUUGAAACUCAAAGGAAUUGACGGGGACCCGCACAAGCGGUGGAGCAUGUUGGUUUAAUUGGAAGCAACGCGAAGAACCUUACCAGGUCUUGACAUCCUUUGACCACCUCAGAGAUGAGGCUUUCCCUUCGGGGACAAAGUGACAGGUGGUGCAUGGUAGUCGUCAGCUCGUGUCGUGAGAUGUUGGGUUAAGUCCCGCAACGAGCGCAACCCUUAUGAUUAGUUGCCAGCAUUUAGUUGGGCACUCUAAUCAGACUGCCGGUGACAAACCGGAGGAAGGUGGGGAUGACGUCAAAUCAUCAUGCCCCUUAUGACCUGGGCUACACACGUGCUACAAUGGCAAGUACAACGAGCAGCUAACCCGUAAGGGCACGCGAAUCUCUUAAAACUUGUCUCAGUUCGGAUUGUGGGCUGCAACUCGCCCACAUGAAGUCGGAAUCGCUAGUAAUCGCGGAUCAGCACGCCGCGC
rnacentral:rRNA from 1 species